UACGUAGGGGGCGAGCGUUGUCCGGAAUCAUUGGGCGUAAAGCGCGUGUAGGCGGCCCGGUAAGUCCGCUGUGAAAGUCCAGGGCUCAACCCUGGGAUGCCGGUGGAUACUGUCGGGCUCGAGUCCGGAAGAGGCGAGUGGAAUUCCUGGUGUAGCGGUGAAAUGCGCAGAUAUCAAGGAGGAACACCAAUGGCGAAGGCAGCUCGCUGGGACGUGACUGACGCUGAGACGCGAAAGCGUGGGGAGCAAACAGG
rnacentral:rRNA from 1 species